UUUAAUCUGUAUUGGAUGGCCUUGAGUGCUUGAUGAAUAUCUUUGGAGUAAAGUACGAUAAUAUGUUAAUAUCUGAAAAGCUCUGUAUGUUUCUAAGAGAAGUUGACAUCUGUCUGAGACAUCGUGUAAGUCCGUAUGUGGGACACAAGCCUCAAUUGAGAUUUACGUAUAAGACCAUGUCUGGGACAUCAGUAUCGUAUCUGAUUUCGUGUAAGACCCUGUCUAGGACAGAGACAUCGAUAUUGAAUUACAUGUAAGAGCACAUCCGGGAUGUCGGCAUUGUACUUGUUUAUGAGCAUUCUAUAUCAUUUUUGAUUCG
rnacentral:lncRNA from 1 species